GCCUAUCUGACGAGUCCCAAAUAGGACGAAACACCUGUUAUAAAU
rfam:Schistosoma haematobium scaffold2192_5, whole genome shotgun sequence.